GUUUUUCCCUUCCCUCGUUGGAGUCGUGUCUGUCAUUGCAGUCACUGUCUGGAGGUUGAAACCUUCAAAAGAAUGUGGUCCUUUCCGAGGUCUGCCUUCUAUAUACACAGCAAUUUCUGAGUGGGUAAAAAUACUGGAAAAUUACAUUGAUUCCAGAUGGGUAGCAUGGAUCUACUACAACUUAAUUACAAGUGAACUUUUCUUCUUCAUCCUCUCCGUCAUUAUCCUAGUUAUUACUUACCUUUACUGGCAAAUAGUAAGAGGAAGAAGAACCAUGGCCAAGCUCUUAUGUGAGCAAAUUGUUAAUGAAGGAAAAGAUAAAAUGUUUUUACUUGAGAAACUACGGAUACUACAGAGAACAAAAAACAUGUUUGCACUGAGAAGACAAGACCAGCAGAGAAGUUCUUCUUUAGCUCGCUCAUCCAUGCCACCUGCCCAGCAAGAACCAAACUACCCAGAAAGGACAUUUGACAGAAAUCAAAAUGCAUCCUACAAUGAGUAUCCUUAUUCUGCUGGGAUCUCGAGGGGGGCUGGCUUCCCAUCUGAUUGGGAAACAUCCCAGCCAAGCAGCAGCUCAGGGAUGUCUGAGGCAGUGGCACUCGCUCUGCGUGCGAGGCAAGCAGCUCAGUGGGAAGAUCUAAAUGACAGCAUCGAUUUUCGACCAUGAGCAGGCAGUCAGCAAUGGAUGCUGAGUAACCCAUGGAUGUUCUGCAGAAGGCAAUACUGAUUCACACGACUGAAAGAACCACUGAUUUUUUUUUUCCCCUCUCGUGGAAGAGAAAACAGAGGUUGCAAAAUGCGAUCUGAGCCAACUGAGCAUUGGUCAAAUACAGAGAAAAUAAAAUGAAAGCACAGUUGUUUUUAAUGACUGUG
rnacentral:lncRNA from 1 species